ACCUGGCUGGCUCAGUCGGUAGAGCAUGUGUCUCUGGAUCUCGGGAUUGUGGGUUCGAGCCCCACAUUGGGCG
rfam:Felis catus isolate Cinnamon breed Abyssinian chromosome B3, whole genome shotgun sequence.